CCCCUUGUAGCUCAAUGGUAGAGCACUCGGCUGUAGUCAGGCACUUUUUCGUGUUUGGCACCAGCAGGUGUUUGUCAGAAACCGAGGGGUUGCUGGUUCAAAUCCGGCCGAGGGGA
rnacentral:tRNA from 1 species